AUACGGAGGGUGCGAGCGUUAUCCGGAAUUACUGGGCGUAAAGGGUGCGUAGGCGGUUUGAUAAGUCGGAUGUGAAAGCCCCGGGCUUAACCUGGGAAUUGCAUUCGAUACUGCCAGGCUAGAGUAUGUCAGAGGUUGGCGGAAUUCCUGGUGUAGCGGUGAAAUGCGUAGAUAUCAGGAGGAACACCGGUAGCGAAGGCGGCUAACUGGGACAAUACUGACGCUGAGGCACGAAAGCGUGGGGAGCAAACAGGAUUAGAUACCCUAGUAGUCC
rnacentral:rRNA from 1 species